UGGGGAAUUUUGGACAAUGGGGGAAACCCUGAUCCAGCCAUCCCGCGUGUGCGAUGAAGGCCUUCGGGUUGUAAAGCACUUUUGGCAGGAAAGAAACGUCGCGGGUUAAUACCCCGCGGAACUGACGGUACCUGCAGAAUAAGCACCGGCUAACUACGUGCCAGCAGCCGCGGUAAUACGUAGGGUGCAAGCGUUAAUCGGAAUUACUGGGCGUAAAGCGUGCGCAGGCGGUUCGGAAAGAAAGAUGUGAAAUCCCAGAGCUUAACUUUGGAACUGCAUUUUUAACUACCGGGCUAGAGUGUGUCAGAGGGAGGUGGAAUUCCGCGUGUAGCAGUGAAAUGCGUAGAUAUGCGGAGGAACACCGAUGGCGAAGGCAGCCUCCUGGGAUAACACUGACGCUCAUGCACGAAGGCGUGGGGAGCAAACAGGAUUAGAUACCCUGGUAGUCCACGCCCUAAAACGAUGUCAACUAGCUGUUGGGGUCUUCGGACCUUGGUAGCGCAGCUAACGCGUGAAGUUGACCGCCUGGGGAGUACGGUCGCAAGAUUAAAAACUUAAAUG
rnacentral:rRNA from 1 species